rnacentral:rRNA from 1 species
CCUACGGGAGGCAGCAGUGGGGAAUUUUGGACAAUGGGCGAAAGCCUGAUCCAGCAAUGCCGCGUGAGUGAAGAAGGCCUUCGGGUUGUAAAGCUCUUUUGUCAGGGAAGAAACGGUAUGGGCUAAUAUCCCGUGCUAAUGACGGUACCUGAAGAAUAAGCACCGGCUAACUACGUGCCAGCAGCCGCGGUAAUACGUAGGGUGCAAGCGUUAAUCGGAAUUACUGGGCGUAAAGCGUGCGCAGGCGGUUUUGUAAGUCUGUCGUGAAAUCCCCGGGCUCAACCUGGGAAUUGCGAUGGAGACUGCAAGGCUAGAAUCUGGCAGAGGGGGGUAGAAUUCCACGUGUAGCAGUGAAAUGCGUAGAGAUGUGGAGGAACACCGAUGGCGAAGGCAGCCCCCUGGGUCAAGAUUGACGCUCAUGCACGAAAGCGUGGGGAGCAAACAGGAUUAGAUACCCUGGUAGUCCACGCCCUAAACGAUGUCUACUAGUUGUCGGGUUUUAAUUAACUUGGUAACGCAGCUAACGCGUGAAGUAGACCGCCUGGGGAGUACGGUCGCAAGAUUAAAACCUCAAAGGAAUUGACGG